GCGUGACCGAAACUCACUCUCAAAUUCACACAUCAUCUAGACCAUACGUCAGAUCCUUCGGCUGACAUCAAGGUUUGCACGUAAUGACGUCCGAACCGGUGCGCAAGUGGUAGACAAGCUAGCAUGCUCUGGUGACCAAAGAUACAUUGGCAAGUGAUUCGACCUCUAGAUAUGGCAUAGAUCUGGAAAGAAUAUCAAUAAUAGGAAACAAGAUGUGAAAAGAUGGGGUAAUCAGUUUUGGGAUUUGGGAGAGUUCUUGGUUGAGUUGGACUAGGUGGCACAGAAGUGGAACCUUCCAUGGUGUAUCGGGGGUGCUUUCAUGUAAUUAGCUUUUCUUUUGAAAAGAUGGAAAGAAGUAGGAUUAUGAGAAUUGCGAAGGAAUUCUCCGGAUGGGUCCAUAGGCAUGCACUUGUUGAUCUUUACUUUAGGUGCACCAUGCAUUCUUUACUUUGACAAACAACUAGGCUGAUCCAGAUUUUAUCUAGAACUGAUUGAUUACUCAUAUUGAGUGGAUGAGAAUCUAUUUUUCUAGAGGCAUUGCAACCUUAUGGCCUACUUCGAUCAUUGCCCGGUUAUUCCAUCUGCUAAGUUGGACCAGUGGGGUCUCAUUCAUUUUGAGCCAAUGUGGUGGAGGAAGAAGAAUUUGUGGAUUAAUUGGAAGAUUGUUGGGUCACUUUCCAAAUAGAAGGGAGAGUUGGAUGGAGGCUUGCCCUAAAGCUCAAAUUGCUCAAAGAAAAGAAUGAAGAAUCAAAUAAGUUCCAUUUUGAGAGGCUGGAGGAUUGAUGCACCAAGACCAUUUGCCAAUCCCAUGGUAACUUCCACACAUCUUUGGUGAAAAGCUUCCACCUCUCACAUUCUCUCAAUUGAAGGUUUCAUGGGAGAGGGUGAAGGAGCUUCUAAGGAUCUACUUGAACCCAGUGGUGAUUGAGGGUGAUUUUGCUAAUGUUGUUGGUUGGGGAAAAUCUGUGCCAUACCUGUGGAGACUGGGAAAAGGAUCUUCGAAGGAUACACCUUGAUCCAUAGCUCAAGUGGUAGACUGAGUGAAAGAUAAUACCUCAUUUCAACACUGAGGUCUUGGUAUUGAUCCCUAGUGGGGGUGGCUAACAGUGAAGUGUGAACUGACAGUGGGGUGUCCUAACAAAAAAAAGAAAAGAAAAGAGGAUCUUCUAAGGAUCCUCUGGGGCUGAUGGUGAUUGAGGUUGAUUUUGCUGAUGUUAUCAGUUGGGUCAGUUCUUUGUGGCCAUACAUUAGAUUGGGUUGAUGAGAUCAGGGAGUCGUGUUGUGGUUGCUGUAUCCAUUUAUUUCGUAUUCAUUGGGAAGUGGUUUUCAGACUGUCCCCUGUCUAGUCUUCUCCCUUAAUUGUUUCUUACCCAUAAAAAAAGAAUGUUUCAUAUAUAGGGAAGCAAAUGCUCAGCUGACUAAGCUUGAGAGUACUGAGAUGAUUGAUGCUCAUUCUUUUAUUAUUUUGAAGAAUUUGCACUUGUUGGCGAUCAACAAAAUAUUCUAGCAGAAACUUUAUUGUAUCAGUGUGCUUAUUCGUAUUCAAUUGGUAUUGGGUACCUUUACCUGAGCUUCUGGGUAAUGUGAAUUCUUUCCAUCUCUUUUUCUUGAUUCAGGCCCAUGGAUAUCAGUCUACACCAGGCAGGAAAACAGUGUCCCUACCAAAGAAGUUUCACUGCUCUAAUUUUUAAAGCCGGACUGCGCAAAUAAAACUGUAGGAAGCCUAUUCUAGUUCGACAAGAACGUACUGCCAUCAAUUGAGCCUUGGUUAGUGCUUUCUGAUUUUCAAUACUGGCUUCGUCAUAUAUGGUUGAGUUCCUGCUGCUGUUCUGAUCAUCAAUUGACUCUUUUUUGUAUCAAUAUUUUCUAGGUAUUAGACUUCUGAGUGAAAAACUUAGGCAAAAGCAUGCUUGCUAUUAAAGCAAAAAUAGAAAAAUAGAAAAAAAAGAAGAAGAAAAAAAGGCCUGUAGUCUUGUUUUAAUGACAUCAUUAAUGUAUGCUCCUCGUGCCAUUUUUUCAUCUGAUUAAUAUAAAACAAAUGGAAAAAAUUUUGGCA